rnacentral:rRNA from 1 species
GACAGAGGUGCCAAGCGUUAGGCGGAAUCACUGGGCUUAAAGCGUGUGUAGGCGGACUUGUAAGUACCUUGUGAAAUCCCACGGCUCACCCGUGGAACUGCUCGGUAUACUGGUCGUCUUGAGCCUUCUAGGGGCGAGUGGAACAAAUGGUGGAGCGGUGAAAUGCGUAGAUAUCAUUUGGAACGCCAAUGGUGAAAACAACUCGCUGGGGAAGUGCUGACGCUGAGACACGAAAGCCAGGGGAGCGAACGGG